rfam:Culex pipiens quinquefasciatus supercont3.431 genomic scaffold, whole genome shotgun sequence.
GCGGCCGUGGCUGACUGGUUACGGGGUUCGCUUUGAAAACGAACGUUCCUGGGUUCGAUUCCCAUCUGCCCCC